rnacentral:lncRNA from 10 species
CCUAAGUUUCUGAAAACUGACAAGAGGAGCAGGAAUUUCAGGAUUUCCUGGGAACCCUCAAGUAUCUCCUGUUGGAUUUGGGGACAAUUUGUUUUUGCCAUUACCAAUAGUUGUUGGAGUUAAGACAGAAACUUGGAGAAGGGAGGAAGAUGAGCCUGGGAGCUAAGAAUGGAACAAAACUUAUAAGGCUUAGAAGGUCUGUGUGAACUGAAGAAAAGAGGACCAGGAAGGUGGCUAUUGCACGAAUUGCAAAAGCAGUUGUCUGGAAAAAGGAAGCAAGGGGACAAUCUAAAAAGAAGUAUAGAGGCCGGGCGCGGUGGCUCACGCCUAUAAUCUCAGCACUUUGGGAGGCCGAGGCGGUCGGAUCACGAGGUAAGGAGAUCAAGACCACCCUGGUUAACGCAGUGAAACCCCGUAUCUACUAAAAAAAGUACAAAAAAUUAGCCGGGCGUGGGGGC